rnacentral:rRNA from 1 species
CCUACGGGAGGCAGCAGUGGGGAAUAUUGCGCAAUGGGCGAAAGCCUGACGCAGCGACGCCGCGUGAGGGAUGAAGGUCUUCGGAUGGUAAACCUCUGUCAGCAGGGAGGAACGGUCACUGUGCUAAUCAGCAGUGAAUUGACGGUACCUGCAAAGGAAGCACCGGCUAACUCCGUGCAAGCAGCCGCGGUAAGACGGGGGGUGCGGGCGUUAAUGGGAAUUCAGGGGCGUAAAUCUCUCGGAGGCGGUAUGUCAAGUCAAGGGUGAAAUCCCCGCGCUCAACGUGGGAACGGCCUUUGAAACGGGCAAACUGGAGUGUGUGAGAGGAUAGUGGAAUUCCAGGUGUAGGAGUGAAAUCCGUAGAUAUCUGGAGGAACAUCAGUGGCGAAGGCGACUAUCUGGCACAUAACUGACGCUGAGGAGCGAAAGCGUGGGUAGCAAACAGGAUUAGAUACCCUUGUAGUC